CCCCAAGUUAUUAACAAAGGUGUUGAUACGAGUUUGAGACCUACAGUUCAUCACCACUGCAUUCAGCUGCUUAAGAUAGAAUCUCUCUGAGUUUGCUCUGCAGCAGCACCUUGGGAGAUGCCAUUUGUCACAAUGAGGUUAUUGAUCUCACUGUGUGUGUCACUACUGCUGCUAAUUAAUGGUGAAAUAACCAGUGGACAAACAUCAGGUAUGAUCAUCCUUUAACUUCAUCUAAUCUUUACUCGUUCCUAUUUCCAUUACAAAUGUAGAAAUUAAGGAAAUGAAAGCAGACUCCAAAAGAAACUGGGUAGAAAUUACAUGAUUCUCACUAGUUUCCACAUUAAUGAAGAACAAUCAGUAUGGCAGGAUGGUGCUAAAAUUGGCACAACAGACAAACGUCGGGUUUAGUGCCUGUCAGGCUCAUCAUCAACAGCAGCAGCAAGUGUCAGUUGAUCACUAGCUAUGUUUCCAUCCAAAGAUGCGAAUUUAACUUAUGCGCAAAACUGGAAUAUCGCAUAAAACAUUUGCGCAUAAAGCACCGUUUCCAUCCAACGAGACAAAGAGAACAAAACUGUCCCCUCCUGAUAAACCUGCACUAAAUAUAACUAAGAAAACUAAAAGAAGCCACUGAAAAUAAUAAUUCUCAUAUAAAUAUAUGAAUUGCUUGGACCUCAGGUCGAGCAUAUGUGACGGUGCGAGGUAAUUUUCCCACCGGUUAAUCGACGUGUGACAACACCGGUAAUACCGGCAUCACCGGGGGAGAGGUUGUGGGUAGUUCGUUAGAGUUUUCUCUCUUUUGCACGCUUUUUUUCGCUUUUAAAUGCUCGUGCACAUUUUA